rnacentral:lncRNA from 1 species
AGUUUCCCAGGUCACUCAGUGAGCAUAUGUAGGUAAUGCUAGAAUCAGAAGGAAGUACGUGGAGUAAAUGCAAAGGUAUAAGACCGUUCCUUGGGAUUACUGUACUUGUGGAGAGAAAUGUUUAAAUGAUUGUUACCCUGUUGGUAAAUUGAGAGGGAAAUUGUGUCAUGUUCAUUAUUUGAGGAAUCUUUGUGCUUCCAACAGACCAACUCUUGCGUAAAAAGAGAAGAAUUUUUAUCCAUUCAGUGGGUGCAGGCACAAUAAAUGCCUUGCUGGAUUGCCUAUUAGAGGAUGAAGUUAUUAGCCAGGAAGACAUGAACAAAGUGAGAGAUGAAAAUGACACUGUCAUGGAUAAGGCUCGAGUCUUGAUUGACCUUGUUACUGGAAAAGGACCCAAGUCUUGCUGCAAAUUUAUCAAGCAUCUCUGUGAAGAAGACCCUCAACUUGCCUCAAAGAUGGGUUUGCACUAAGAGAGAAGAUGGAACUCUGGAGCACUUCAGAGACUUCCCAGAGCUUCUUCCAAGGGAGAAGAUAUUCUCGUGAAAGAAAAAAACAAAACAAAACAACAGUGCUUUUUUCAAACCUGAUUAAUUUCAUCAAUUUCCAAUAAAUCUUUCAUUCUCUCAU